rnacentral:rRNA from 1 species
AGCGAACGCUGGCGGCAGGCUUAACACAUGCAAGUCGAACGGGCUUCUUCGGAAGUCAGUGGCAGACGGGUGAGUAACACGUGGGAACGUGCCCUUCGGUUCGGAAUAACUCAGGGAAACUUGAGCUAAUACCGGAUACGCCCUUUUGGGGAAAGGUUUACUGCCGAAGGAUCGGCCCGCGUCUGAUUAGCUUGUUGGUGGGGUAACGGCCUACCGAGGCGACGAUCAGUAGCUGGUCUGAGAGGAUGAUCAGCCACACUGGGACUGAGACACGGCCCAGACUCCUACGGGAAGCAGCAGUGGGGAAUAUUGGACAAUGGGCGCAAGCCUGAUCCAGCCAUGCCGCGUGAGUGAUGAAGGCCUUAGGGUUGUAAAGCUCUUUUGUCCGGGACGAUAAUGACGGUACCGGAAGAAUAAGCCCCGGCUAACUUCGUG